rnacentral:rRNA from 1 species
GAGUUUGGGCCGCACGCGCGCUACACUGACAGAGCCAACGAGUUUUUUUCCUUGGCCGGAAGGUCUGGGUAAUCUUGUUAAACUCUGUCGUGCUGGGGAUAGAGCAUUGCAAUUAUUGCUCUUCAACGAGGAAUGCCUAGUAAGCGCAUGUCAUCAGCAUGCGUUGAUUACGUCCCUGCCCUUUGUACACACCGCCCGUCGCUACUACCGAUUGAAUGGCUCAGUGAGGUGUUCGGACUGGCCCAGGGAGGUCGGCAACGACCACCCAGGGCCGGAAAGUUCAUCAAACUGAGUCAUUUAGAGGAAGUAAAAGUCGUAACAAGGUCUCCGUAGGUGAACCUGCGGAGGGAUCAUUACCGAGUGUGGGGUUCCGGCGU